rnacentral:rRNA from 1 species
UACGGAGGGUGCAAGCGUUAUCCGGAUUUACUGGGUUUAAAGGGUGCGUAGGUGGGUAAGUAAGUCAGUGGUGAAAUCCUCGAGCUUAACUCGGAAACUGCCAUUGAUACUAUUUAUCUUGAAUACUUUGGAGGUAAGCGGAAUAUGUCAUGUAGCGGUGAAAUGCUUAGAUAUGACAUAGAACACCAAUUGCGAAGGCAGCUUACUACACAGUUAUUGACACUGAGGCACGAAAGCGUGGGGAUCAAACAGG